GACGAACGCUGGCGGCGUGCCUAAUGCAUGCAAGUCGAGCGGAAGUUGAAGAGCUUGCUCUUCAACUUUAGCGGCGGACGGGUGAGUAACACGUGGGCAACCUGCCCUGCAGAUCGGGAUAACUCCGGGAAACCGGUGCUAAUACCGAAUAGUUUUCGCCACCUCCUGGUGGCGUACGGAAAGACGGUUUCGGCUGUCACUGCAGGAUGGGCCCGCGGCGCAUUAGCUAGUUGGUGGGGUAACGGCCCACCAAGGCAACGAUGCGUAGCCGACCUGAGAGGGGGAUCGGCCAAACUGGGACUGAGACACGGCCCAGACUCCUACGGGAGGCAGCAGUAGGGAAUCUUCCGCAAUGGACGAAAGUCUGACGGAGCAACGCCGCGUGAGUGACGAAGGUUUUCGGAUCGUAAAACUCUGUUGUGAGGGAAGAACAAGUACCACUUAACUACUGGUACCUUGACGGUACCUCACCAGAAAGCCACGGCUAACUACGUGCCAGCCGCCGCCGUAAAAC
rnacentral:rRNA from 1 species